CCUACGGGGCGCUGCAGUGGGGAAUAUUGCGCAAUGGGCGAAAGCCUGACGCAGCGACGCCGCGUGAGGGAUGAAGGUCUUCGGAUCGUUAACCUCUGUCAGCAGGGAAGAACGGUCACUGUGCUAAUCAGCAGUGAAUUGACGGUACCUGCAAAGGAAGCACCGGCUAACUCCGUGCCAGCAGCCGCGGUAAUACGGAGGGUGCGAGCGUUAAUCGGAAUUACUGGGCGUAAAGCGCUCGUAGGCGGUAUGUCAAGUCAAGGGUGAAAUCCCCGCGCUCAACGUGGGAACUGCCUUUGAAACUGGCAAACUGGAGUGUGUGAGAGGAUAGUGGAAUUCCAGGUGUAGGAGUGAAAUCCGUAGAUAUCUGGAGGAACAUCAGUGGCGAAGGCGACUAUCUGGCACAUAACUGACGCUGAGGAGCGAAAGCGUGGGUAGCAAACAGGAUUAGAUACCCGAGUAGUC
rnacentral:rRNA from 1 species